ensembl:lncRNA
UCUCUGGUCUGCUGCUUCUCUCUCCCACACUGCCAGCCCGGCCUGGUCACACUGAGGUGUGGUUCAUUCCAGGCCCCAGCAUGUACCAGCCCUAUGACCUGGACAGGUCCCUGGCCGCCUGUGCCUCAGUUUCCUUACUGCAAGAUUUUUGGGAAUUGAAUGACCUACCACCUAUAAAACUCUCAGGACAGAGCAGACUGCAGAGGUGAGUGUCCACCCACUCUGUCUUGGGCUCCUGUGAUGGACACUGGGGCGUUCACCAUGCAUAUGCCCUCCUCCAGCAUUUCCUACACUGAAGACAAAAGGGCUUUGGAAACGGAAACUGUAGGUUUCUCUCUACAGUCUCCAGAACAAAGAGUCAGCUGGCCAGGUCCCCAAGGCCUGUGUGGCCUGGCCCUGCUCACCUCAUCAAAACCACCCUCUACUCAUGCACUGCUCUUCCCUCUUCACAGGGUCUUGGGAUGUGCUGCUCCGUCCUCCUGGCCUGGUAGCCUUUCUUGCUAUCUUGUCAGCGUUCACCUGUCACUCAGACUGGAUCCCUUUCAGACUCACCAGGCGGAACCACUGGGAGGGCACCGGCCGGCUGGGCGAAGGCUGCCUCUACUUGGGAUGCCAGAAGAGAGGCCUUGGGCAGGCCAUCUGGGAGGACCCUCUUCCUUUCUCCUGUAGGACGUUUACAAAAGGUGGUCCUGGGGAUGCUGACGGGGGGGCUUGGUCCCUAACAAGUCACUUACCUCUCUAAUGGACAGUCGGGGCAGUGGAGGCUGCAAGCCUGUUGGAGAGGGGGAGUGUGUCCAGAGGCGGUGCUGGGGAGGAGGGAGACCAACUGGCUCCUGUGAGCCUGAGCCCUGCCCUUUCUCCCCUAGCCUGUCCCUGCCCUUCCUGGGUCAGGGUCUGGAUCUGUUGCUGGCAAUCAGGAUCCCUGGGAGCCUGGCAGAGACACUGGCAGAUGUGCAGGCCCUACCGCAGAGCUUCAGGUGCAGCUGGUCGGGUGGAGCCUGACAUUGAUAUUUUUAAUUAAUUAAUUAAUUAAUUAAUUAACUAAUUUUUGAAAUGGAGUCUUACUCUGUUGCCAGGCCAGAUUGCAGUGGUGUGAUCUGGGCUCACUGCAACCUCCACCUCCUGGGUUCAAGCGAUUCUCCUGCCUCAGCCUCCUGAGUAGCUGAGACCACAGGCACGUGCCACCACACCUGGCUAAUUUUUGUGUUUUUAGUAGAGGUGGGGUUUCACCAUGUCGGCCGGGAUAGUUCUCGAUCUGUUGACCUUGUUAUCCACCCGCCUUGGCCUCCCAAAGUGCUGGGAUUACAGGCGUGAGCUACCGUGCCUGGCCUUAUUUUUAUUUUUAUUGACACAUAGUAUUAAUAAUUGUACAGAUUUAUGGGAUACAGUGUGAUGUCUUGAAUCAUGUAUAUAUUAUGCAAAUCAGGAUAAUUAGCAAAUCUAUCAUCUCAAAUGUGUAUUAUCUCCUUGGUAGUUUUUACAGGCACUCCAGGAGGGUCCAGCCUUCAGCCAGCCUUGACAACCAUCUCCUAAAGGCCUGUCCUGUUGUCACCCAGAGUGUGGCUCUUUGCAGCAUCCAUGUCUGGUUUAGAUGGCUGCUGGAUGACAAUGGCAAUGGUCGUUCUUCCUCCUCCUCCUCUUUCUCCUCUUCCUCGUUGUCUUCCCCCUUCUCCUCCUGCACUUCUUACUCCUCUUUUUCUCUUCCUCCAUCCUCUUCCAUCUAUUUAUUGUGCAAAUUAUGAAGAACCUUCUGUGUGGCAGAUGCCGACAAAGACCCUAGGGAUGGCGUUGGGAAUAGAACAGAUGCGGUUCCUGACCCCAUGGAGAUUCUGCUGGUGGAGCAAGAUGCUGGUGGAGUCAGACUGGCACACACAGAGAAAUGUGAAAUAUGUCAGGUGAGGAUGGAGGUCAUAAAAAGUGACGCAGAUACUCGGGAGGCUGAGGCAGGAGAAUCGCUUAAACCAGGGAGGCGGAGGUUGCAGUGAGCCGAGAUCGUGCCAUUGCACUCCAGCCUGGGCAACAAGAGCAAAACUCUGUCUCAAUUAAAAAAAAAAAAAAAGUGAAGCAGAGAAGGUUAUGCAGCAAGGAGGAUGGUGCUGUUUUGAAUUGGUUGAGGCACUGAGUAGAGGCCUGGGGAAGCAGAGGAGGAAUUCACAUGGCUGGGGAGUUGGGGAGCACUCUGGCACAUGCCGAGGGAACAGCGUGUGUGAAAGUCCUGAGGCUGGAGCGUGCCCGGCAUGGGCGAUUGUUACUCCUUUUGAACUCUGCUUCUUUUUCCAUGGUUUCUCCUUCACUUGCAUCUUCUUUAACUUUUCCCUCCCUUUCAUCUUCUGCUGCCAUCACCCUCCUCACCAUUGUCUUCAUGGAAACUCUUUUCUGAGCCCACAGAGUCCCCCCAGAUCUCUGUAUGAGGCGAGUGUGUGUCUUAGUGAACUUCCUCCUGGCGGAGGUCAGUGAAUGUCCACCCGGCACUGCUUCAUGCCUCUGUGCUUUGUUCUGGAUCUUCCCUAUGUCCUGGAGUGUCUUCCUACCCUUGGUCCAUCCAGAAAACUCCUCUUCACUCUUCAAAACCUUGCCUCCACAUCUCAUCUGUGGGUAGACUGUGCAUCAGAGGCAGGGCCAGAGGCUGCCCCCUAUUAAUAGCCAAAGUGUGCACUUACUAUGUACCAUGAUGCUGGGCU